AUGGCCAGCGGCUCAGUCGAUAAUUGGUUGGGGAGCACCAGUUUCUCGAUGCAGGCCGGCUCGCAGCAGCCGGAGGCACCGCUCUCCCAGUCAUCGCCAAUGGGUCGCAGUUUGGCUGACCAGAAGUGGGAUAUAUGGUUUCAUUUAGAAGGAAGAAACCCUGUGAAAAGGGGUAUAUUUGAGUCAGAUAUUUCUUUGCUUACUCUACAAUCACUCAUUGCUAGUGAAGGGUAUGGGGACAGUGAUUACAUGUACUAUGUGAAGGAGGAGGAAAUUGGAUCUGACAGAGUAAAGUAUUUAGGUAAUGAAGCUAGUGUUCAUGAAAUGUUGGACUUUUUUCAUCAUGUCAAGCUAGUCAACAUAAGGGUUGUGAGAAAUGUUGAACCUGAAAUUAGUACACAGGCUAAUGAGAAUUACAUGAACACUCAAGAGAGCUGCUGUGUGAAAAAGGUUGUGGAGCAAUCCGAGCUUCAGAAUCAGAUAGAUGAUAGAAAGGCUCAGCUUGAGAGGAGCAGGAUUCAAAGAGAGGCAGAUUUGAACCACUUUGAAGGAGACACUGAAGAAGAAGAAUUUGGUUCUGAUGAUUCAGUUCAUUCAGAUGGUAGUGCUGAAGCUGUUCAACAAAUGGAAAUAGAGUGUGCCUCUGAAGAGGAAACACCAUUGCAAAGUACUGCUAUUGUGAAACAUGUGAAGAACCCUGGGCCAACUAGCAGAUGUCACAAUGAGGUAGAGAAAAAAUGUUUUGAAGAUUGGUUUCCUGAAGCAGAUGAGUUUUGUUUUGCUGGUGAUCCAGGCAUAAGUGAUGAGGAAGAAGAAGAUGAAGUUGAACUACCAUACAUCAUGAAGAAGGCAAAGACAAAGAGUAGUAAGAAAAAGAUGAAGGAAAGAGUAUAUUUUGACCCU
rnacentral:rRNA from 1 species